UACAUGGGGUGCAAACGUUGCUCGGAAUUAUUGGGCGUAAAGCGCACGUAGGCGGUCCGUUAUGUUGGAUGUGAAAGCCCUCGGCUCAACUGAGGAAGUGCAUCCAAAACUGGCGGGCUGGAGUAUGGAAGAGGGUCGCGGAAUUCCCGGUGUAGAGGUGAAAUUCGUAGAUAUCGGGAGGAACACCGGUGGCGAAGGCGGCGACCUGGGCCAAUACUGACGCUGAGGUGCGAAAGCGUGGGGAGCAAACAGG
rnacentral:rRNA from 1 species